CCUACGGGAGGCAGCAGUGGGGAAUAUUGCACAAUGGGGGAAACCCUGAUGCAGCGACGCCGCGUGAGUGAAGAAGUAAUUCGUUAUGUAAAGCUCUAUCAGCAGGGAAGAAAAUGACGGUACCUGAGUAAGAAGCCCCGGCUAACUACGUGCCAGCAGCCGCGGUAAUACGGAGGGGGCAAGCGUUAUCCGGAUGUACUGGGUGUAAAGGGAGCGUAGACGGCAGUGCAAGUCUGGAGUGAAAGGCGGGGGCUCAACCCCCGGACUGCUCUGGAAACUAUUGAACUUGAGUGCAGGAGAGGUAAGCGGAAUUCCUAGUGUAGCGGUGAAAUGCGUAGAUAUUAGGAGGAACACCAGUGGCGAAGGCGGCUUACUGGACUGUAACUGACGUUGAGGCUCGAAAGCGUGGGGAGCAAACAGGAUUAGAUACCCCGGUAGUC
rnacentral:rRNA from 1 species